rnacentral:rRNA from 1 species
UGGGGAAUAUUGCACAAUGGGCGAAAGCCUGAUGCAGCGACGCCGCGUGAGGGAUGACGGCCUUCGGGUUGUAAACCUCUUUCAGUAGGGACGAAGCGCAAGUGACGGUACCUGCAGAAGAAGCACCGGCUAACUACGUGCCAGCAGCCGCGGUAAUACGUAGGGUGCGAGCGUUGUCCGGAAUUACUGGGCGUAAAGAGCUCGUAGGCGGUUUGUCACGUCGUCUGUGAAAUCCUAGGGCUUAACCCUGGACGUGCAGGCGAUACGGGCUGACUUGAGUACUACAGGGGAGACUGGAAUAUCUGGUGUAGCGGUGGAAUGCACAGAUAUCAGGAAGAACACCGAUGGCGAAGGCAGGUCUCUGGGUAGUAACUGACGCUGAGGAGCGAAAGCAUGGGUAGCGAACAGG